rnacentral:rRNA from 1 species
AGCGUAGGCGGCGGGGUAAGUCAGGUGUUAAAAUUCGGCGCUCAACGCCGAAGCGCAUUUGAUACUGCUCUGCUAGAGGAGUGGAGAGGAGACAGGAAUUCACGGUGUAGCAGUGAAAUGCGUAGAUAUCGUGAGGAAGACCCAUGGCGAAAGCAUGUCUCUGGAAACUACCUGACGCUGAUGCUCGAACGCCGAGGGGAGACGAAAC